ACGGAAGGCAGCAGUGGGGAAUAUUGCACAAUGGGCGAAAGCCUGAUGCAGCGACGCCGCGUGAGCGAAGAAGUAUUUCGGUAUGUAAAGCUCUAUCAGCAGGGAAGAUAAUGACGGUACCUGACUAAGAAGCACCGGCUAAAUACGUGCCAGCAGCCGCGGUAAUACGUAUGGUGCAAGCGUUAUCCGGAUUUACUGGGUGUAAAGGGAGCGUAGGCGGUUUUACAAGUCUGAUGUGAAAGCCCGGGGCUCAACUCCGGUAUUGCAUUGGAAACUGUAGAACUAGAGUGUCGGAGGGGUAAGUGGAAUUCCUAGUGUAGCGGUGAAAUGCGUAGAUAUUAGGAGGAACACCAGUGGCGAAGGCGGCUUACUGGACGAUUACUGACGCUGAGGCUCGAAAGCGUGGGGAUCAAACAGGAUUAGAUACCCUGGUA
rnacentral:rRNA from 1 species